rnacentral:rRNA from 1 species
GUCCUUUUGAAUUUAAUUUAAGGUUUAACCUGCCCACUGAUUAAUUGAAGGGCCGCAGUAUUUUGACUGUGCAAAGGUAGCAUAAUCAUUAGUUUUUUAAUUAAAAGCUUGUAUGAAGGGUUGGACGAGGUAGAUUCUGUCUCUAAAUAAUUUAUUUUAGAAUUUAAUUUUUAAGUUAAAAAGCUUAAAUAAUUUUAAAAGACGAGAAGACCCUAUAGAUCUUUAUAAUAUAUUUAUUAAUUUUAUUAAGGAUUAAUUUAUUUUUUAAAUAUUUAUAUUAUUUUAUUGGGGUAAUGAAAAGAUUUAAAUAAUUCUUUUUUAUUCAUACAUUGAUAAAUGAUUAAAUGAUCCAAUAUUAUUGAUUAAAAGAUUAAGUUACCUUAGGGAUAACAGCGUAAUUUUUUUUGAGAGUUCAUAUCGAUAAGAAAGUUUGCGACCUCGAUGUUGGAUUAAAGAUUAUUUUAGGUGCAGAAGUUUAAAAUUUUGGUCUGUUCGACCAUUGAAUCUUU